rnacentral:rRNA from 1 species
UACGAAGGGGGCUAGCGUUGCUCGGAAUCACUGGGCGUAAAGCGCACGUAGGCGGAUCUUUAAGUCAGGGGUGAAAUCCCGGGGCUCAACCCCGGAACUGCCUUUGAUACUGGGUAUCUCGAGUCCGGAAGAGGUGAGUGGAAUUGCGAGUGUAGAGGUGAAAUUCGUAGAUAUUCGCAGGAACACCAGUGGCGAAGGCGGCUCACUGGUCCGGUACUGACGCUGAGGUGCGAAAGCGUGGGGAGCAAACAGG